GAAAGCAAAGGAGUCACUGUCUCAGACACCCAUGUGGACAAUCUGGUUGGUUGGCAUGACCAUCGUUCCUGACUUUGCAUUUAUAUGCUACAAAUGAGCAAUCGUUUUCUUAUACUUUUUCACAUGUAGGUACUUAACAAUAAGAAAAUAUAACAUGUCUUUAAUACAGUGAAAUACAUAUCCGCAGCAGCCACAGCAAAUGACAACAGGCUUUCACACGCAGCAUCAAUUUGCCACUCACAAAGUUUCAAAUUUUAGAGCAUUUUGAAUUUUCAGAUUAGGGAUGCUCAACCUGAAAAUUUAUUUUUCUUAAUUUUUACUGCAUAACAAAUUACCCCAAAACAUAAUGAUCUAUUAUAACUGUUUCAUUUGCUCAUGAUUCUGCAAUCUGGGCCUCACACAGCUUUCUCCUCUUCUGCUGUUCUUCCUGGUGGUCACUUCUGUUGCUGCAAUAAGUAGGUUAGCUGAGGGGGUCUCCACUCUAAAUAAGUCCCAGGACCUCUCUCUUUUCACAUGGCUUCUGAAGCAGCAGAGCCAGACUUACCACAUGGUGGCUAAAGGCUCCCAAGAAUGAAAAGGCAGAAUCUGCUAGGCUAAAGCUUAGGCCUAGAGUUAGCACAACGUCAUUUCUACUGCAGUCUCUUGUUAAAUAAGUUACAGGCCCAACCCAGAUUAAAACAAAAGGAGGGAAGUAAGCCAGGAUAUGAACUAGGAGGUGUGGUUUAGUGGUGGCCACCAAUAUAACGGCUGCUACACUCUACUUAACGUUGUUUUAAGUAAAUAACAUAUGAUGAUGUGUCUCAAAGCAUAGUAGUAAUUUUUAAGUAUGAGGCAGCCCCACCAGUAAGGUGGAAAUACUGACUCAGGAUAAAGCACUUUUAGAAGUUAACAUGUAAGAAUGAAGAAGGAACACCUUUUCCAAUGGUUCCCUGAAUUUUUAACCUAGAAUACAUAUUACCUUGCAAUAGAAGUUGUUAUCACAUAUUACCUUGCAAUGGAAGUUACAGCUCUGUUAAAGUGGCACAGUAUUCUUUUAAAUUUUUCUUUUCUACCCUAGUUUCUAAUACUACCCUGAUAUGGAUACUCUUCUGUUUUUAAAAUAUUUUAAGUCAUGUAUGUUAAUAAAGUGUAUCUGUUGUUCAUAAAUUUAUGGCAAUCAAAUAUAGUAAGUCCUAACAGUGCCAGACACAACAGCAUACCUACCAGUCUCCUCUUUAACUUUGGAAAGUGUUCUUGUAUAAUGUGUGGUGUCAGUAUUUUAUUCUCUUUUUCGCCCUCUUGAAGUUUUGUUAAUAUUUUUAUUUUGACCAUAAAUAACAUUUUAAAUCAUAAUAAUUAACUACUAAGAACAAGGUUUGGCUCAUAGUAGGCCCUCAGAAUGGAUCUGUUGAAUAAAUGAAUAAGGGACAUUUCUUUCGAGUCAUUAUGAAGUCUUAGCAUGUUAUUCAUAUCUGUAAAGACAUAAGAACUUUUCAACUUAUUAUAAAAUAAAUAGUAAAUUGAGGUAGCAAUCACAGAUUGCUGGGGUUAUUUUAGGAAGCACACCAGUUAAUGUUUAUCUUACUAAA